UGUGUUGUUGUGUGCAUUAAGAUUAUGAAUACAGCUUUGAUAAUAGUUUUAAGAGCUAUUUAUGGCAAUAAUGGAUACAUCAUUUUUCAGUCAUCAAAAGAAGACUGCAAAUCAGCAAGUCCUUGUUUUCUGAAUGAACAAGGGGAAAGAUUUGACAAAAAUAAAGAAGGAAAAUGAAAUGCGCGCUAUCACAAUGAUAGUACAGUACUGAACAACAAAGUCAAUUAUUU
rnacentral:lncRNA from 1 species